CCUACGGGUGGCAGCAGUAGGGAAUCUUUCACAAUGGGCGAAAGCCUGAUGGAGCAACGCCGCGUGCAGGAUGAAGGCCUUCGGGUUGUAAACUGCUUUUAUAAGCGAGAAAUAUGAUGGUAACUUAUGAAUAAGGAUCGGCUAACUACGUGCCAGCAGCCGCGGUCAUACGUAGGAUCCGAGCAUUAUCCGGAGUGACUGGGUGUAAAGAGUUGCGUAGGUGGCAUAAUAAGUAGCUAGUGAAAUCUGGUGGCUCAACCAUUCAGACUAUUAGCUAAACUGUUAAGCUCGAGACCGUUAGGGGUAACGGGAAUGUGUAGUGUAGGAGUGAAAUCCGUAGAUAUCAGAAGGAACACCGAUAGCGUAGGCAGGUUGCUGGGACGGUUCUGACGCUAAGGCACGAAAGCGUAGGGAGCAAACGGGAUUAGAUACCCGUGUAGUC
rnacentral:rRNA from 1 species